UCAGUUUCUUCAUCUGUAAGAUAGAGUCUGAGGCCCCUUCCAGUUCUAAAUGUAAGAUCUUGUGAGCUUUUGACUGUAUGACCUAUGAUACUGAAAGUUGGUUCAUUGUGACAUCAGCAUUCUAGUUGACAAAAGGAAACUGAAAUCAACCAGAAAAUUAAAGAACCAAAUGUUGGCCAGAUGGAUCAGGCAUCAAACAGUUGUUGGGGGAGGGCGGGAGGGGAGAGAACAAGAUAAAGGAAGGGAACUACAGAAAUAGUAUAGAAAAUUAUGUAAGCUAAAGCUGUUACUACAGUUUAACUAACAUUUAUUAAGCCUGACAAUAUACCAAGUGAAUCUGUUUCUGUUUCUCAAUGCUCAAAAGAAGAAGAUUAAAAGAGGAAAUAAAAGAGAAAAUGGGAUGAAAACAUACAACUAUUCCACUACCAAUUAAAUGGGAAACUAUCCUAGGACAGGAAAAAGAGCAACUGGAGCCUGGAAUAACCUAGGUUUGAAUUACAGCCAUGUCAAUUACUUUCUAUGUAAUCCUGAACAAACUACUUUACCCUUCUGGGUCUUACUUUCCUCACACAAAAAUGAAAAGUUAGACUAGUUAACUUUUAAAUUCUAAAUCAACAAUCCUAUUAUCUUAGAAGUUAAAGUAUAGCAUUAUAGUGAUGACUACUUUACAUCCCAUUUGUUAGUAACAUGAAAUAAUUGAUGUGUUAAAGUAUGACCAAGGCUGAAAUAAGAAGAAUCCUGACCUUUAUGUUGGUAGGGACCUGUGAUUUCAGUAAUGUAGGCAACUCAAGUCAAGAAAACCAUCUUCUUCAAUGCAGAUCAAUGACUAAACAAUCAGCCUUAAAAAUCUGAUUAUGGCACAGAGAUUAAGAGAAUUGCUCAAGUUCAUACAACCAGUCUGAGUCAGAGAGGUGAGGUUUCCAGACAGAUGAUUCUGACUCCAAGAAGCACACAGAUCUCCUACGUAAGUUUCAGCUAAUAUCUGAAAAGAUACAUACAUAAGCAAAUGAUUAAGAUAACCAAAGAGAAAUAGAAACCAGUUGCUCCAUUCAAUGCAAAACUGCACAAAAGGAUGACAAAGAAAGCCAUAGUAGAGGGAAGCCUAACUUUCGUUAGGAGAGGGUCAUGCCAAGAAAAGGAUUUUCAAACUCCAUCAAAUAGUCCUGAAGCCAGCUGGUAAUCUGGAAUGGAGAGUUGCAAACUAAGGAAAGCUACAACUGGGGAGUCUCAAGCCAGAAAUCAGGUCUGGACUGCUUCGAACAGAAAUCAAAGGGCUCACAAGUCAUUGUGAAAGGAGACAUGGCUCAGCUAUAGAGCUCUGACAACCACAGCAGGAGAAAAGACUAACUUGGUGCAUGUACAUGUGUGGAAGGGGGAAUAGAGUAGUAGUAUAAAAAGAACUAAGGCCAAACUGAGCUACAACAUCCAUACAGAGCCUAUCAGAGGCACGACAAAGAGUAGAACCAACUCAGAAAUUAAGAGAUUAAGCACAGGAAAGAAGUGAACCUCAUUGAGACCAAAAUUCAAAUUGAACUGCCAAGAGAUUGAAGCAGAGAAUGAGAUUUAGUACUAAUCAGGUCAUCAAAGCUGAUUGUAUCAAAGACAUCCAAGACUACACAGGAGAAAAUGAAACAAGCAUAUACAUACUAUCCAAGAGUACUGGAAAGCACUUGCCCAGGCACAAAAUCCCAAACUAAGAAGAGGAGUUAAACAUAUGAGUAAAGAGAAGAAAACACUAAAUUCAACAAAGAAAUACUAAAAAUUAAGAGAAGCUUACAAGCCCCCACUCCACCCACCUACUUGUACAGAAAAAAAGAUGGCCAGGGGAAGAGGAAGAAAAAUGAAAAAGGUUAUGAUGGGAGCAGGGUUGAAUGAAAACAUUUCAGGUGAAGAGGAGUUGCAGAGGGAACAAGUUUAAGAACCCUGGCAUAGAAUGAUCAGCAAAGAGAUGGUCAUUAAAUUCACAGAAGUUGAUGAGAUCACCAACAUCAGACAUUACAAAUAAAAGGAACAUGUAGUGGAAAGAAUGCUGGAUUCAUGGUUCAAAUCUCAGGUCUGCUGCUGGAUCCCUGUGUGACAUUGGGCAAAACACAACCUUCUUGGCUCUCAGUUUCCUUGUAAGUAAAAUAAGCCACAUCCAAAAUCAGCUGUUAAGUCUUGUGGAUUGAA